CCCACUGGUGCAAUGGAUCCUGGGCUGACCCAGGCGCCUCUCCCAUCACAGGCUGUCCCCCUCUCCAAGGCUCCUGCUGACGAGCCACGGCCCCUGUCAGGACUGCACGGCUCCCUCCAUCCCCAGCACCACUUCUUCCUGGUAGCCCGCCCGGUGGCUUCCACGGACACGCAGGAGAGGAGACUACUCCUCCCAAGAGGCCACAAGGUUGGCACAGCCUGAGGACAGCAUGGUCCACCAGCCAGAGCACAGGUCAACGCGGAAACGCCGACACCCCAGCUGCCGGCCAGCUCAGCAAAGUGCUGUUUCCAGCCCGACUCCUGGGCUCCCAGCACCCCUGCCCAGGGCCUGCUCCCCAGCCCUCACUGACCACUGCCCUGAGCUCUGGGCAGGGCUGCUCUCCCUGGCCCCUGACCAGCCAGGUCCCACCUGAGCACAGGGAGGAGUGGGACUUGGGGCUCCUUAGGAGACAGUGGGAUAGGACAGGAGUUACUCAGCAUCUCCAGAACUCGGGCCAGGGAGGCGUACUUGACUCUUCUCAGCCAGGAGGGCUGCAGCGGCUCAGAGGUCCCCCUGUCGGCCCUGCCGCCUUCCCGCCCCCAGCCCCCCAGGGCUCUGUCCAGGAACCUACCCAUAAGGCCAGGUGCAGCCCCUCCGAGGUCCGGCUCAGGUGUGAGCCCCGGCCCUGGAGCUCUGAGCUCUGCGCUGUCCGGAGCGAGCGGGGAGCCCCCAGGGGCACCGCCGGAAGGAGGGCGUUCGGGCCCGGACCGCUCUCUAUCCAGGUACAGAGGAGCAAUGGCACCUGCCCUGCCAGGCCCUGGAAACCCAGCACCACUUAAGGACCACCUAACGCCCUAGGUGCCUGGCCUCCUGCCACCGUCAGCAGGAACACGUUGGCCCGAACCGGUGCUGACGGGGCGCAGUCGAGAGAUGUGCUGUGAAGGACAACCCACCAUCUCUCCUGGGGCUCAGCACCCUUCCGAGCCAGCAAACACCAAGAAAGAGGAAGGAGGACUCCAAAUCAGAACACCUUCUCCAAAUAAUUCUUGGGGAAUACGGACCACCCUUUCACAACUCCAAGUGAGACCCAGAAUCCACACAGCAUGAAGGAGCCAUUCGAGAAAAACACAGGCCCUUCUCUCUCCCAGCCCCUCUCUCCACCCAGUCACAGGAUCUGUUUGGUACAGUUUUUCAGGAGAGUCCCUGAGAACCCCAAGUUUAUGCCUCUUGCCUGCUCCCACCCUUUAUACGACACAGUAGACUUCCUAGGCUGCCUCUCUCCCCGAUGCCUCCCCGGCACCUGGGCCCCGUCAACAAGGCCGCUUCACAGGCCUCACCACAGGCCUCCUCUCAAACCUGAUCUGGCUCGCCUGGCUUUCUAGUAAGUAACUGACACUCCAUCUCACGCCCCUCCUUUUCCAUUAGACUAGAUGGCUAAACACCUUCACCUCUACACUCUGCUGGUCUUGGAACUUCUUCAGCCAGGACUCAAAGUGUCAGAUCGGGCCACAGCCAUCAGCUUCACUUUCUCGGCCAACUUACAGUAGCCUCUCUCACUCAGCUCCCAUCUUAAGCAAAAAAAAAAAAAAGCCCGAACUCAGAGCUAUCCCCUCGCCAUCCUAGGGUGCGACCCCUCUCUUGUAGCUGCCAGACAGGAGAGGCCGCCCUUUUCUAGCCUCUCAGGGAUGCCUGCCUUUGUGCUCUGUGGGCAGAGGCAAACCCCAAAGCAGAAAAGACGCCACAACCUAGGGCGAGAGUGCCUUUAGCAGAAGAUCAGGGAACAAACCAGGAGAGUCUUCAAGGAUCCUCAGGUCCCAUAUGUCCCCUGCCUUCCAGAGUGACCCACCCAGCAUGAUCACCAGGACAGGUCUCGUGACUGAGAUAAAGAUUCAGUCAACCUGAAAAAGCAGAGUCUCCUGAAACAGUCAGGUUCUCGGACAUGUUAGGAGAGGGGCGUGGAAAGGAGGACUCCUGGACGAAAAGAAGAUCCGGUGUGUGUCGAGAGCCUGAAAGAAGUGUUGGAGGGGGAGGGUCCAGCCAGCACGGCCGAAGGAGAGGCAGGCCGAAGGCGGUGGUGACCCGCUAGGCCUGAUGAGAAUGCUGCUCAAGGGCACCUGGUGCGCUCAGCCCCGAGCCUGUAUCCAUCAAGCAAACUUCUGAUUUUAAUUACAUUUUCCAGUGACUCAGAUACCAGUCAACUGCCAGAACACAGCAGGACAAGUACGAGGACCUGUGUGGCAAGAAUGUGCCCUGUGAUGAGUUGGGAAAUUUACCAUUCUGGUACACGUCACUCUCCGUGUUUCCCAAGAGUGUGAUCAUGAUGUGCUGUUAAUCAUGACUCUCCAACUCACAGAGUUAAGAUGAGACCCAAGGCCGAGAUUCCCUGCCUCCCACCCCACACCGAAGGGCGGUCACUUGCACAGACAGGUCCAGGUGGGAAUGCCAUGCCAGCCUGGCUGGUUUCAACUCCAAGUUCAGCAUUCAGCUCAUGCUCUGUCAAAAUCCAGGGCCUACAGGACGAAGGGAGGUUAUCUUGUUUCCAUCAAACAGGACAUUUACCACCUGAGACCCUUUCCUCAAAAUCAGAGAAGCCACAAUCCCCAGGAAGCCAUCUGCCAAGUCGCACGUUGGGAAGACACUCUGUUCCGCCACACCAACGCUCCCGCUGACCUCCAGGCCAGGAGGCCUCAUCCAGACAAAAGAGCACGAGGUGAAUAUGGACGUCUAUUCGGAUCCGGUCCUCCCACCUACAGCUCAACAGCCUCAGGGCUACACUCAUGCCCUCUGACUGCCUGCUAAUGACAUCAAUACUGCGUGGCACUCCAGGCCCCCACAAUCCGCAGGCAGCACUUACGUCAUGCACCCCACACUCUGUCUGCCUACUUGCUAGUCCCCAAAUGUGUGUGGGGGGUUGGUGCCUUUGCUCAUGCUUUCCUUGCCCUUCCCCUUCCCCUCCCACCAGCCCAAAUCCUACCUCCCCAUCCUUCUGGCCCAGUUCACCAAUUAUGUCCGCCAUGAAAGUUUCUGUAGACUUGAACUGUCCAAGAAGGUAGCCCCUGGCUGCAUGUGCUAUUUAAAUUAAACACAAAUAGCCCUGGCUGGUGUGGCCCAGUGCAUUGAGCGCCAGAGUGCAAAGUGAAAAGUCGCUAGUUCGAUUCCCAGUCAGAGCACAUGCCUGGGUUUCGGGCCAGGUCCCCAGUAGGGGCACACGAGAGGCAGCCACACACUGACAUUUCUCUCUCUUUCUCCUUGCCUUCCCUUCUCUCAAAGUAAAUAAAUAAAAUC